rnacentral:rRNA from 1 species
GACAGCUGAAUGAUAGUCGGGCUGAAGACUCUACUUGACUAGCUGAGAGGUGGUGCAUGGCCGUCGUCAGUUCGUACUGUGAAGCAUCCUGUUAAGUCAGGCAACGAGCGAGACCCACGUCCACAGUUGCCAGCAUACCCUCCGGGGUGAUGGGUACACUGUGGAGACCGCCGCUGCGUAAAGCGGAGGAAGGAAUGGGCAACGGUAGGUCAGUAUGCCCCGAAUCUCCCGGGCUACACGCGGGCUACAAUGGUUGGUACAAUGGGCAUCUACCCCGAAAGGGGAAGGAAAUCUCUUAAAGCCAAUCGUAGUUCGGAUUGAGGGCUGCAACUCGCCCUCAUGAAGCUGGAAUCCGUAGUAAUCGCGUUUCAACAGAACGCGGUGAAUACGUCCCUGCUCCUU